UACGGGGGGGCAAGCGUUGCUCGGAAUUACUGGGCGUAAAGGGCUCGUAGGCGGCCCACUAAGUCAGACGUGAAAUCCCUCGGCUUAACCGGGGAACUGCAUCUGAUACUGGAUGGCUUGAGUUCGGGAGAGGGAUGCGGAAUUCCAGGUGUAGCGGUGAAAUGCGUAGAUAUCUGGAGGAACACCGGUGGCGAAGGCGGCAUCCUGGACCGACACUGACGCUGAGGAGCGAAAGCCAGGGGAGCAAACGGG
rnacentral:rRNA from 1 species